UGUAUUAUUGUAAAUUUGCUUUCAAAAAGAAAUAAAAAUUUUUGAAUUGAAAUAUUUAUUUGAAGACUAACUAUGUUUGUUUAAAUAGUUUAAUUUUAUCUAACCAACCAUGAAAGGUUUCAGGGGAUAUUUUUUGUCCCUUUAUAAUCAAAACAAUACGUAUAGUAUUGAUGUUGGGGAUUUACCCGUAUAAACAACGAGAUAGAAAAGGUAGGGAAGAUUGAA
rnacentral:lncRNA from 1 species